rnacentral:rRNA from 1 species
AACGGCCGUACCAUGCUGAAUAUACCGGUUCUCGUUAGAUCACCGAAGUUAAGCAUCAUUGGGCGCGGUCAGUACUUGGGUGGGUGACCACCUGGGAACACUGUGUGCCGUU